rnacentral:rRNA from 1 species
GACGAACGCUGGCGGCGUGCUUAACACAUGCAAGUCGAACGGAAAGGCCCUGCUUUUGUGGGGUGCUCGAGUGGCGAACGUGUGAGUAACACGUGAGUAACCUGCCCUUUACUUUGUGAUAACUUCAGGAAACUGGGUCUAAUACCGGAUAGGAGCUCCUGCUGCAUGGUGUGGGUUGGUAUGUUUCGCCGGUUGGGGAUGGACUCGCGGCUUAUCAGCUUGUUUGUGUGGUAGUGGCUUACCAAGGCUUUGACGGGUAGCCGGCAUGAGAGGGUGACCGGCGACAUUGGGACUGAGAUACGGACCAGACUCCAACGGGAGGCAGCAGUGGGGAAUAUUGCACAAUGGGAGGAAGCGUGAUGCAGCAACGCCGCGUGCGGGAUGACGGCCUUCGGGUUGUAAACCGCUUUCGCCUGUGACGAAGCGUGAGUGACGGUAAUGGGUAAAGAAGCAACGGCUAACUACGUG